rnacentral:lncRNA from 1 species
CUCACUCUGUCGCCCAGGCUGGAGUGCAGUGGCACGAUCUCGGCUCACUGCAACCUCCACCUCCCGGGUUCACGCCAUUCUCCUGCCUCAGCCUCCCGAGUAGCUGGGACUACAGGCGCCCGCCACCACGCCCGGCUAAUUUUUUGUAUUUUUAGUAGAGACAGGGUUUCACCGUGUUAGCCAGGAUGGUCUCGAUCUCCUGACCUCGUGAUCC